rnacentral:rRNA from 1 species
AGAACGAACGCUGGCGGCAGGCCUAACACAUGCAAGUCGAACGCUCGUAGCAAUACGGGAGUGGCGCACGGGUGAGUAACGCGUGGGCACCUGCCCGGUGGUUUGGGAUAACCGUGGGAAACUGCGGCUAAUACCGGAUACGCCCCUAGGGGGAAAGAUUUAUCGCCAUCGGAUGGGCCCGCGUAGGAUUAGCUAGUUGGUGAGGUAACGGCUCACCAAGGCUACGAUCCUUAGCUGGUCUGAGAGGAUGAUCAGCCACACUGGGACUGAGACACGGCCCAGACUCCUACGGGAGGCAGCAGUGGGGAAUAUUGGACAAUGGGGGCAACCCUGAUCCAGCCAUGCCACGUGAGUGAAGAAGGCUUCGGGUUGUAAAGCUACUUUGGCGGGACGAUAGAUGACGGUACCGCAGAAUAAGCCCGCUAACUCGUGCCAGCAGCCGAC